GACGAACCGUGCGAACGUUGUUCGGAAUCACUGGGCUUAAAGGGCGCGUAGGCGGACUGCCAAGUCCGGGGUGAAAUCUUUCGGCUCAACCGGAAAAUAGCCUCGGAGACUGGCGGUCUGGAGUGAGGUAGGGGCAGCUGGAACUUCCGGUGGAGCGGUGAAAUGCGCAGAUAUCAGGAGGAACACCAAUGGCGAAGGCAGCUCGCUGGAACGGUACUGACGCUGAGGCGCGAAAGCGUGGGGAGCAAACAGG
rnacentral:rRNA from 1 species